rnacentral:rRNA from 1 species
GGGUUGUGAGGUUAAGUGACUAAGCGUACACGGUGGAUGCCUAGGCAGUCAGAGGCGAUGAAGGGCGUGCUAAUCUGCGAAAAGCGUCGGUAAGGUGAUAUGAACCGUUAUAACCGGCGAUACCCGAAUGGGGAAACCCAGUGUGUUUCGACACACUAUCAUGUCAUGAAUACAUAGUGGCAUGAGGCGAACCGGGGGAACUGAAACAUCUAAGUACCCCGAGGAAAAGAAAUCAACCGAGAUUCCCCCAGUAGCGGCGAGCGAACGGGGAGGAGCCCAGAACCUGAAUCGGCUUGUGUGUUAGUGGAAGCGUCUGGAAAGUCGCGCAGCAAAGGGUGAUAGCCCCGUACACUAAAAUGCACAGGUCGUGAGUUCGAUGAGUAGGGCGGGACACGUGACAUCCUGUCUGAAUAUGGGGGGACCAUCCUCCAAGGCUAAAUACUCCUGACUGACCGAUAGUGAACCAGUACCGUGAGGGAAAGGCGAAAAGAACCCCGGCGAGGGGAGUGAAAUAGAACCUGAAACCGUGUACGUACAAGCAGUGGGAGCACCUUCGUGGUGUGACUGCGUACCUUUUGUAUAAUGGGUCAGCGACUUAUAUUUUGUAGCAAGGUUAACCGUAUAGGGGAGCCGUAGGGAAACCGAGUCUUAACUGGGCGACUAGUUGCAAGGUAUAGACCCGAAACCCGGUGAUCUAGCCAUGGGCAGGUUGAAGGUUGGGUAACACUAACUGGAGGACCGAACCGACUAAUGUUGAAAAAUUAGCGGAUGACUUGUGGCUGGGGGUGAAAGGCCAAUCAAACCGGGAGAUAGCUGGUUCUCCCCGAAAGCUAUUUAGGUAGCGCCUCGUGAACUCAUCUUCGGGGGUAGAGCACUGUUUCGGCUAGGGGGCCAUCCCGGCUUACCAAACCGAUGCAAACUCCGAAUACCGAAGAAUGUUAUCACGGGAGACACACGGCGGGUGCUAACGUCCGUCGUGAAGAGGGAAACAACCCAGACCGCCAGCUAAGGUCCCAAAGUCAUGGUUAAGUGGGAAACGAUGUGGGAAGGCAUAGACAGCCAGGAUGUUGGCUUAGAAGCAGCCAUCAUUUAAAGAAAGCGUAAUAGCUCACUGGUCGAGUCGGCCUGCGCGGAAGAUGUAACGGGGCUAAACCAUGCACCGAAGCUGCGGCAGCGACGCUUAGGCGUUGUUGGGUAGGGGAGCGUUCUGUAAGCCGUUGAAGGUGGCCUGUGAGGGUUGCUGGAGGUAUCAGAAGUGCGAAUGCUGACAUAAGUAACGAUAAAGCGGGUGAAAAGCCCGCUCGCCGGAAGACCAAGGGUUCCUGUCCAACGUUAAUCGGGGCAGGGUGAGUCGACCCCUAAGGCGAGGCUGAAAAGCGUAGUCGAUGGGAAACAGGUUAAUAUUCCUGUACUUGGUGUUACUGCGAAGGGGGGACGGAGAAGGCUAGGCUAGCCGGGCGACGGUUGUCCCGGUUUAAGCGUGUAGGGGGUGGACCUGGUAAAUCCGGUUGCAUACUAACCCUGAGGCGUGAUGACGAUGCACUACGGUGCAGAAGUAGUUGAUGCCCUGCUUCCAGGAAAAUCCUCUAAGCUCCAGGUAACAUUAAAUCGUACCCCAAACCGACACAGGUGGUCAGGUAGAGAAUACCAAGGCGCUUGAGAGAACUCGGGUGAAGGAACUAGGCAAAAUGGUGCCGUAACUUCGGGAGAAGGCACGCUGGCAUGUAGGUGAAGUCCCUCGCGGAUGGAGCUGAAGCCAGUCGAAGAUACCAGCUGGCUGCAACUGUUUAAUAAAAACACAGCACUGUGCAAACACGAAAGUGGACGUAUACGGUGUGACGCCUGCCCGGUGCUGGAAGGUUAAUUGAUGGGGUCAGCCGCAAGGCGAAGCUCUUGAUCGAAGCCCCAGUAAACGGCGGCCGUAACUAUAACGGUCCUAAGGUAGCGAAAUUCCUUGUCGGGUAAGUUCCGACCUGCACGAAUGGCGUAAUGAUGGCCAGGCUGUCUCCACCCGAGACUCAGUGAAAUUGAACUCGCUGUGAAGAUGCAGUGUACCCGCGGCAAGACGGAAAGACCCCGUGAACCUUUACUAUAGCUUGACACUGAACAUUGAGCCUUGAUGUGUAGGAUAGGUGGGAGGCUUUGAAGCGUGGACGCCAGUCUGCGUGGAGCCAUCCUUGAAAUACCACCCUUUAAUGUUUGAUGUUCUAACUCGGCCCCGUGAUCCGGGGUGAGGACAGUGUCUGGUGGGUAGUUUGACUGGGGCGGUCUCCUCCCAAAGAGUAACGGAGGAGCACGAAGGUUAGCUAAUCACGGUCGGACAUCGUGAGGUUAGUGCAAAGGCAUAAGCUAGCUUGACUGCGAGAGUGACGGCUCGAGCAGGUACGAAAGUAGGUCUUAGUGAUCCGGUGGUUCUGAAUGGAAGGGCCAUCGCUCAACGGAUAAAAGGUACUCCGGGGAUAACAGGCUGAUACCGCCCAAGAGUUCAUAUCGACGGCGGUGUUUGGCACCUCGAUGUCGGCUCAUCACAUCCUGGGGCUGAAGUAGGUCCCAAGGGUAUGGCUGUUCGCCAUUUAAAGUGGUACGCGAGCUGGGUUUAGAACGUCGUGAGACAGUUCGGUCCCUAUCUGCCGUGGGCGUUGGAAGAUUGAGAGGGGUUGCUCCUAGUACGAGAGGACCGGAGUGAACGCACCACUGGUGUUCGGGUUGUCAUGCCAAUGGCAUUGCCCGGUAGCUAAGUGCGGAAAAGAUAAGCGCUGAAAGCAUCUAAGCGCGAAACUUGCCUCAAGAUGAGUCUUCCCUGGGCCUUCAAGGCCCCUGAAGGAACGUUUAAGACUAAGACGUUGAUAGGCUGGGUGUGUAAGUGCAGCGAUGCAUUGAGCUAACCAGUACUAAUGAUCCGUGAGGCUUAACCUUACAACACCGAAGGUGUUU